AUUGAACGCUGGCGGCAGGCCUAACACAUGCAAGUCGAACGAGUGGCGGACGGGUGAGUAAUGUCUGGGAAACUGCCUGAUGUAGGGGGAUAACUACUGGAAACGGUAGCUAAUACCGCAUACCAUCGGAUGUGCCCAGCUGGGAUUAGCUAGUAGGUGGGGUAAAGGCUCACCUAGGCGACGAUCCCUAGCUGGUCUGAGAGGAUGACAAGCAACACUGGAACUGAGACACGGUCCAGACUCAGAGGGGAGGCAGCAGGGGGGAAUAGUGCACAAGGGGCGAAAGCCUGAUGCAGCCAGGCCGCGUGUAUGAAGAAGGCCUGCGGGUUGUAAAGUACUUUCAGCGGGGAGGCGUUACCCGCAGAAGAAGCACCGGCUAACUCCGUGCCAGCAGCCGCGGUAAUAC
rnacentral:rRNA from 1 species